rnacentral:rRNA from 1 species
CUCGUGGGUGAAGAAGGCCUUCGGGUUGUAAAGCCCUUUUGUUGGGAAAGAAAUCCAGCCGGCUAAUACCUGGUUGGGAUGACGGUACCCAAAGAAUAAGCACCGGCUAACUUCGUGCCAGCAGCCGCGGUAAUACGAAGGGUGCAAGCGUUACUCGGAAUUACUGGGCGUAAAGCGUGCGUAGGUGGUCGUUUAAGUCCGUUGUGAAAGCCCUGGGCUCAACCUGGGAACUGCAGUGGAUACUGGGCGACUAGAGUGUGGUAGAGGGUAGCGGAAUUCCUGGUGUAGCAGUGAAAUGCGUAGAGAUCAGGAGGAACAUCCAUGGCGAAGGCAGCUACCUGGACCAACACUGACACUGAGGCACGAAAGCGUGGGGAGCAAACAGGAUUAGAUACCCUGGUAGUCCACGCCCUAAACGAUGCGAACUGGAUGUUGGGUGCAAUUUGGCACGCAGUAUCGAAGCUAACGCGUUAAGUUCGCCGCCUGGGGAGUACGGUCGCAAGACUGAAACUCAAAGAAAUUGUGACGGG